rnacentral:rRNA from 1 species
UACAGAGGUCCCGAGCGUUGUUCGGAUUCACUGGGCGUAAAGGGUGCGCAGGUGGGUUGGCAAGUUUGAUGUGAAAGCUCGGAGCUUAACUCCGAAAUGGCAUUGAAUACUAUCUGGCUUGAGGGUCGGAGGGGAGACUGGAAUUCUCGGUGUAGCAGUGAAAUGCGUAGAUAUCGAGAGGAACACCAGUGGCGAAGGCGAGUCUCUGGACGACACCUGACACUGAGGCACGAAAGCUAGGGGAGCAAACAGG